rnacentral:lncRNA from 10 species
CUGAGCUUCCCCCAAAUGGCUGAUAUGUGUUCCUCCUUAUGGACAUUGAGGAUGGAGUAGCUUCAUUUCCCAUUUUUCUUUGGCCACCAGGAGGCCCAGCACUAAAGGCUCAGCCCUUCUCUACCAGCUGUGCGAAGACUCAUUGACCUACUCGUGAAUUUUUACUUCCUUGCUGAUGGAGAUGUUUUUCUUCAGAUUUGGGUUUUCUCUGCUCCUGAUUUUAAUGUUUAUAUUUCACUACUUUCUUUUCUUCAUGUCUCCCCACCCUUUAUGGAACCAGGCUGGGGGUAUGUAAAAACACUCCACAGGUAAACACACAUGAAGUCAUCUUCACAGCUGCUUGAUUGGGCGUGUUGCACUUUUUGCUUCCUCAGCUUCGUGAGACUGUUUGUGUGGUCAUAACCCACUGGUCCGCUACAACGUGCCUGAGGGUGGUCAGGGUGCUGCUCUUUGCUUGUUUUUGUGUUCUCAUCAGCUGCUUAGAAUUUUAAAAAUAAUUUCUCUCCAAACCCUUUAGUUACCCAAAGCAUAAACAGUACCCUGGUGGGUAAGUGUGUGUGUGUUUCUUUUUUUUUUUCUUUGAUUUAUAUAUUUCACAUUAUAUAAGGAUAACCUGCUUAUUAGAGAAUCUAAAAAUGAUAACAAGUAAAAAAGAAAAGAAAGCUACCUGUAAUUCUACCAGGGAGCCCAUGUUUUAGUGUUUUGUGAUACAUCCUUCUGGAUUUUUUUCCUAUGCUUAUAUUUUUCCCACAAAAAAUAGAAUUUGACCAUACAUACUAAAUAUAACCUGAAUUUUCACUUCAUGGUAGAUAAUUCGUGUCUUUCCUUGUUGUUAUUCUGCAAAAACAAAAGCUACUUAAAAUGUGUACCAAGGCUGGUCUCGAACUCAGGUGAUCCACACCAAAGUGCUGGGAUUAUAGGUGUGAGCCACCACGCCCAGCCCAUUUCCUCCAUAUUUUUAAGUAAAAUACUUACACCACUAUUUCUUGGCUUAUUUGAAUUCCUAACUUUCCCUCACUUACAUCUCCCUUCCAUUCCUCCCCCCAACAUAUUCUGUCACCGUACUGUAUUCACUUCCUUUAUUGGUUACCUUUGCAAUAUAAAACAGUACACUUGACCUGUAUUUAUUAUUCCAUUAGCCAUUGGCAGCAGCUUGUGACAACCCUGCUACCAUAUUAUGAUGUCUGUCUGUCAUCAGUUCUGGUUUCUGAGGUCAAAAUUGAAAACACUCCCAUUCUGUGUAAUAACCAUCAGUCUCAAAGACCAGUGCUUUUUUGGGAGGCUGACGCGGGCAGAUCACUUGAGUUCAGGAGUUUGAGACCAGCCUGGCCAACAUGGUGAAACCCCGUCUCUACUAAAAAUACAAAAAUUAGCUGGGUGUGAUGGUGCAUGCCUGUAAUACCAGCUACUUGGGAGGCCGAGGCAGGAGAAUCACUUGAACCUAGGAGGUGGAGGUUGCAGUGAGCCAAGAUCAUGCCACUGCACUCCAGCCUGGGCAACAGAGCGAGACUUCGUC